rnacentral:lncRNA from 1 species
UAUACAUGACAGCAGAAUGCAUUUCGAUUCAUAGUACACAAAUGGAGCACAAUUUUUCAUUUCUUCUGGUUGUACAAGAAGUAGAGUCACACAUUUGGGUCAUCAUACAUUUACCUAGGGUAAUAUUGUCUUACUGCAGCCUACUUAGAAACAGUGCAGUGUAGAAUCUUAGGCCAAGUCUGACACACAAGAUCGUUUUCUCUAUUCAGAGCCUAUUUGUCUCUGGAUUAUGGUGGAAAUAGGAAAAUGAAAUGUGUUUCUCAACAUAUAGAAGUUUCAAGGAAAGAAUGUAGAAUUAGUAUGACUGAAAUUUUAAAAAAUUUCAGGAAAUUGAGCCCAGAAGAUCUUGGCUCUUGCUAGUCUGUGGUAUGGCUCGACAGAUAAAAUCUAGAAGGCCAAUUGGGGAUAGAAUUAAGGACCUUCAAAAGUCUAAAGGUUCCAGGAGGUGUACCUUCUUUGUCAGCUAUUAGAAACUUCUAAGGAAUGGCAGAAUUGUAUUCAGAAGUUCAUCUAAAUUUUAGUAGAACAAACACUGCACUGGUUGGGAUCUUGGUCUUCUUCCUAUAACUUCUCUCUCAGUCUUCUAUUUCAUGAAAAAAAUAUCCAGGCAUUGUUUUGGAACAUUAGAAAAGAGUGUUAAUUGUUAGGAAACAAACAUGUUUGUCAUGAAAAAAUAAGCCCUUAAACUUAAAAAGAAAGAUUCUUUACUAGGAGAAUGGCAUGGAUAUUGAAAACCUCGGUUUCAAGAAGCAUUUUAUGAAGUUGCAUUCUGUCUUUGUGGAUAAGGUCAUCAAAGUGGGAUGAGUGAGUUAGACAGCUGAUGAAAUAACCAUAUCUAAAGGUCUGUGGAUCUGUUAAGCUGAGGAGACUCCUGGGUAGAUGGCUGCAUUCAUCUGCCCUUGCCCUAUAUUAUUUCUCAUUGGUAUCCAUGACGCAGAUAGAAUGCUUUUCAGUUUUUUCUGAUGACUUCACUGGGAGAUAUAGACAGUAUAGG